CACAACCUGAUUUCUUUCAGACCCGUGUUAAUUUGUGGGAAACUGUGGCACCGUAUUGAGAAUAGAUGAGAUACUAUAUUGCCCAAUGCCCUCUACCAAUUGCACAUUUCUUUGCUGUUGAUACUUCUGUUUCUCAAAUACUGUCUUUCUAGAUGUUAAAAAACGUGAGCCUGUGUAUACCUGAGAAGAAGGUGCUUGCUGAAGUGUACUGUCUGCUCCUUUUGGUAAAAUCAGAGAAAAGAGAAAACACACUAGUGACUUUCCUGUCUACAAGGACUUUUCAACUUUAAGAAUGUGGACAUGACGACUCCUGAAAACGAGCACUUUGGAUUCACAUUGCUCACAGUGAAGGACCCUGAGAGGGCAGAGCCACGUGAUGGAAUGAGCCAGGAUCCCUGAGUCCUCACCUAGGGCAGAGAUGUGCAGAAGAGCUACCCAGGUGGCGUUGUGCUGGAAAAUGUUUAGUGACCCAUUUGAGGUGUGGGGGGAGGCUCUAACUGGUAACAUUUGUAAAUUACUGUAAUGCAUGCCUCCACCAUGGCUGCUUUUAGGCAACCAAGGUGAUGUCACUGAACACAGUUUGGUGUGGAUGCACAUCAUCAGUUCAUCAUGAUCCAGGAUGAACUAGCCCUAGCAUACCACUACCACAACCCACAUAUAACUGUAUGUCAUAAUUUAAAAA
rnacentral:lncRNA from 1 species